rnacentral:lncRNA from 1 species
AUUCCCAAGAUGGCGGACCUACUGGGCUCCAUCCUGAGCUCCAUGGAGAAACCACCCAGCCUCGGUGACCAGGAGAGUCGGCGCAAGGCCCGAGGUGAGGAUCCCAGAUUCACAACCGCGUAUCUUCGCCCGAUUCUUGGGACCACACUCUUCCCUCUUUGAAUAAUGCCACCUCCUACCCUAACAGACCCCCCACAGGCCACUUCUGAGACCCUCAGAGUCCCUAAAAGGCCUGUCGGCCCGCCCGCUGUCUUUUGCAAACAAUGAUUGGCUACCUCAGCCUGCCUUCUACCUCCAGUCUCUUCUUCCUAUCCUCGCCUUUUACAGUCCUUGUUUGCGAUUGGUCAACGGGCCUGCCUGUCUGCUGUUGGUGAGCUCUGAUUAGUAGGAUGCCUUUCUUCCGAUUGGAGGAUGUCGUAUCCAUCGCCUCGGUCCCGCGAAUCUCCAGUUCUAUUACGAUUGAGUUUAGGGCACGCCCAUCCACCCGUCUGUUCCCCUCUAUUGGCUAGCUCAGCCAAAAGCUCUACCUUUAAAGUGUUACCUUUUCUGACCGACCUCAGCCUCAGCUCCUCCCAUUGGUUGGCUGGAUCCUCCUAUCUUUAUGCCCCUUCUUGAGUUGACCCAGUCCCUCAUACCUUCCACCGCCCUUUCCUAACUAUAGCCUUAAAUUCCUGUGCUGCCCAACUAGAUCGUGAUGUUGAUUGGAGAGAUGAGAAUGCCCCGCAGGCUCCGAUUCGCCAUCUCUCCUUCCCAGCCCCCGCGCUGAGUAGCUAACCAGAAAGCUCGCUGGGGUUUGGCAGCCAGGGUAGGGUGCGGCCCGAAGUGGCCUGCCCUGUAUUGGCUUGGAGCGCAUGUGAAGGACUUUAUAGAAAGGAUAGCCUUAGGUGCAUCCAGCUCCCAACCACGUGAGCCUUGGUCGUGGAUAAGUCUCCUACCCGCACCUACUACCCAUCUGCUCAAAGGAGGCAAGACAGGAUGCUUUCAGAAUGUUCAAAGACUGUUAAAUAUCUGUACUCCCUUAUUUACAAAACUUGUGAAGCCAAAGAUGCUCAUCAAGGAGAUUAUAGACCAUGUCUGGGACGUUUAUUAAUGAUCAUACGGAAUUUUAAUAACCAAUUAAUAUACAUGUGUAGGAAAGAUUAAUUGGGAGUCCCAGGCUUGUCUGAAAUGAGCCGAGCAACAAAGAAUAGGUAACUCAGUAAAGGGAGUGCAGUCUGUUCGAAAGCUAUGGGAAAGCAGAGCUUAAUAGGAAACAGGAGUUAGAGUUACUUAAUGUUCAGCUGAGUAAUAGGUGUGCUCCCAUCAGCCGUCAGAAUAGGAGGCUUUAGCCACUUGCCUCGGGUCUCAGGUUACUAAGCUGAAUUUGGAACCCAGAUGUGAGCUCGUAGCCUCAGUGUUCUUAUGCUACCUCCCAAGAUGCAGAAAACACUGGAAAAGCAAUCAGAACACAAUGAAAGGCCAAGAUAGUGAAGUCAGACAGACGAGAGCUUCUAGUUUGUCAGGUCUUGGACUCUGACGUCUAACUGGACAGGUGAGCAGGGUCAACCCUCCAGCAGCUCAUAGCCUGGUAAGGGAGACAGGGGGAAAAACAAAACAAAAAACCCCACGUCUUUAGCAGUGAAUGUGCUUAGAGCGUAGAGGAAGUCUUGACUCACGGUGAGGAUUCAGUGUUUGCUGUGAGAGGAGGAAGAGCAUUCCAGAGAGAAGGAGCACGUGCAGAAGCAUGGAGUGACUAGAAAACAGGAAGAAUUCAGUGCCACUUUGGGGACUCAGUCCUGUGGAAGAAGCAAGCUUGGAUUUUGAAACACCAAAAGAAAGGGGAAGGGACAUUUGAAGCUGAGGAACAGGAGGAAGAUGUGUGCCCAAUCACAAGAGGCAGCAACCCCCUACCAUGGGAAGCGACAGGCAGGAUAAGGAACCAGGUUAAAAGUAGCUGAGCGGGCUGGAGAGAUGGCUCACGGUUAAGAGGACAGACUGCUCUUCCUGGGAACCUGAGUUAGAUUUGCAGACUCCACAUCAGGUUCCUUACAACUGCCUGUAACCCCAGCUCCUGGGGGGAAUCUGACAUCUCAGAUCUCUGUGGGCACUCGGAUUCAUACAUAGACGAAUAUGCAUAGUUAAGAU